rnacentral:rRNA from 1 species
AUGGAAAUUCAACAUUAAUAUUAUAAUAUUUAUUUAUAAAUAUUAUAAAAAUAGUGUGCAAUUUUUCCAUAUAAGGACAUUGUAAUCUGUUAAUGUAAUAAAUAUUUAUCAUAAGAUUCAGUAUAUAAAAGUUUAUUCAAAUUAGUUAUUUUCCGAUUUCUAACAUAGAAUAAAUUUAAUUGAAUUUGAUAAAUCAUUGACAGAUUUAUUUAUAUAUAGUGCUUAAAUUCUUAAUUGAAUUUUACAAUAAUUUAUAAAUGUAUUUUCAUUUAUUUAUUUAUUGUAUGCACUUAUAUGAUUAACAAUGCUAUAGAUUCAGGAUACCUUCGGGACCCGUCUUGAAACACGGACCAAGGAGUCUAACAUAUGUGCAAGUCAUUGGGUAUUUUUAAUAAAACCCAAAGGCAUAAUUAACUUAACUGUUUUUUUAAUAUGGGAUUAGUUUAUAUUUUAUUAUGAAAUAUUUAUUCAAUCCCGGGGCGUUCUAUAUAGUUAUGUAUAAUAAUAUUUAUAUUAUUUAUGCCUCUAACUAGAGCGUACCUUGAGCAUAUAUGCUGU